rnacentral:rRNA from 1 species
GACGUAGGGCGCGAGCGUUGUCCGGAUUUAUUGGGCGUAAAGAGCUCGUAGGCGGCUUGUCGCGUCGAAUGUGAAAUCUCAGGGCUCAACUCUGACAUUGCAUUCGAUACGGGCAGGCUCGAGUUCGGUAGGGGAGACUGGAAUUCCUGGUGUAGCGGUGAAAUGCGCAGAUAUCAGGAGGAACACCGGUGGCGAAGGCGGGUCUCUGGGCCGAUACAGACGCUGAGGAGCGAAAGCGUGGGGAGCGAACAGG